GGUGGGGUGCCAGAGCCUGGUUGAAUGGACGCGACUUGAAAUCGCGCGAAGUGGAGACACUUCCGUGGGUUCAAAUCCCACCCCCACCGCCA
rnacentral:tRNA from 1 species